UACGUAGGGGGCAAGCGUUGUCCGGAAUUAUUGGGCGUAAAGAGCGUGUAGGCGGCUAGAUAGGUCCGUUGUGAAAACUCGAGGCUCAACCUCGAGACGUCGAUGGAAACCAUCUGGCUAGAGUCCGGAAGAGGAGAGUGGAAUUCCUGGUGUAGCGGUGAAAUGCGCAGUUAUCAGGAAGAACACCCGUGGCGAAGGCGGCUCUCUGGUACGUGACUGACGCUGAGACGCGAAAGCGUGGGGAGCAAACAGG
rnacentral:rRNA from 1 species